rnacentral:lncRNA from 1 species
UUAUGGGGUAUAUAGGGUUUACUAGUGGAGGGGUGAUUAUGGGGUAGGUAGGGUUUACUAGUGGAGGGGUGAUUAUGGGGUAGGUAGGGUUUACUAGUGGAGGGGUGAUUAUGGGGUAUAUAGGGUUUACUAGUGGAGGGGUGAUUAUGGGGUAUAUAGGGUUUACUAGUGGAGGGGUGAUUAUGGGGUAGGUAGGGUUUACUAGUGGAGGAGUGAUGAUGGGGUAUAUAGGGUUUACUAGUGGAGGGGUGAUUAUGGGGUAUAUAGGGUUUACUAGUGGAGGGGUGAUUAUGGGGUAUAUAGGGUUUACUAGUGGAGGGGUGAUUAUGGGGUAGGUAGGGUUUACUAGUGGAGGAGUGAUGAUGGGGUAUAUAGGGUUUACUAGUGGAGGGGUGAUUAUGGGGUAGGUAGGGUUUACUAGUGAAGGGGUGAUUAUGUGAAUGUUCACACGUGAUAACACCAAUCCUCACUGACAGAAACAGGGACACAGACAGCAUCGAACAUGACAUUCUCUUCCUCAAACUCUUUUUCCGUUUUGUCUCGUUGCUCUCCUACCCCCGUGGUGGUUCUGCAGGUAAUGUUUGAUGGACAGGUGGAAUGCAGAGCAACUGAGCUUGCAAUGUAUUUUGUUUUGGCAAUCCGUUCUUUGGGUGUUCUUAAGCAAACAGAGUG